ensembl:snoRNA
UCUUAUCCUGCUUAUUACUUACAGGUUUCUAAAAUCAAUUAUUUACACUAGGAUGGGAAAGAAAAAAAAAAAUCCCUGUGCUUCCUGCUUCUUUGUGGUGGUCCAGAUUGAAGAGGGGAAUACAUCU